CUGGAGAGCUGGUUGAAGUUGUGUUUUCUCAAACCCACCCCGCACCUCCCCCAGAGGAUCAGCUUUAGUUGGUCUGGAUGAAUCUACGUUUAUAACAAGCUCCCAGAGAUCCCGAGACACCCUGGGGAAGAGAUGGUGGCUGAGGAGCAGAAGAGAGGUGGAAGUCCAUUCCGGAGGAUGACCCUUCCUAACCUUGGUCCCAGAGUGAGCUCACUCAAACUCAGUCCCGAAAAAGAUGAGAAAACUGGGACACCAACAGGAAAAGUAACCUGCUGAUCGCAAAGAACUUGUUUUGGUGUUGGGAUUAUAUUGGACUCAUGAAGCAAGAACUGUUGUCUCUUUUUGGAAUCUCUUAAAGAGUUUAUGUUUGGUUGAUACUUUUUUCUUCUUUAAAUAUUUGGAAGAAUUUCCCAGUCAGGUUGUCUUCUUCAUGGAGUUUUCUUUACAAGAAGAAUUCAGUUUCUUUUAAUAGAUGAAAAGCCUUGAGAUGGUUCAAUUACUUCUUAUGUCAUUUGUGAUGUUAAACACAUGGGUUUCAGAUGUGAAUUUUGCUUUGACAUAGAAUAAUCUUCAGGCAUUAUGAUUAGAACAAGAACUUCUCCAUAUUUCCACGUAAUAAAGUGGGAGCACUGUAAAACUCUCAAGCCAUUUGAACUUCUUCUGCGCAAUGAAAUGAGUGAAGUGCUGUGGGUAUAGAGAUCAGCAGUUGAUUUCAAAAUUGAUUUGAUACUAUCAUGACUACUUAAUUCCGAUUCUGUUAUUUCUGCUACUACAUUUUAUAUUCUUUAUAAAUUUUUAUGCAGAAAAAGAAUGAAAACCUUUAACCAAGCAUUCUUAAACUUCUCUGUGUCUAAUAAUAAUAAACUACUUG